rnacentral:rRNA from 1 species
GCUUAACGCGAAGAACCUUACCCACACUUGACAUGCCUCUUUUGGCUUUCAGAGAUGAUUGCCUUCGGUUCGGCCGGGGAGUGCACAGGUGCUGCAUGGCUGUCGUCAGCUCGUGUCGUGAGAUGUUGGGUUAAGUCCCGCAACGAGCGCAACCCUUAUCGUAUGUUGCCAGCAUUUAGUUGGGCACUCGUGCGAGACUGCCGGUGAUAAGCCGGAGGAAGGCGGGGACGACGUCAAGUCAUCAUGGCCCUUACGUGUGGGGCUAGAAACGUGCUACAAUGGGAGUGACAGUGAGCAGCAAGGUCGCGAGGCCAAGCUAAUCUCCAAAAGCUCUCUCAGUUCAGAUUGUAGUCUGCAACUCGACUACAUGAGGUUGGAAUCGCUAGUAAUCGCAAAUCAGCAUGUUGCGGUGAAUACGUUCCCGGGUCUUGUACACACCG